rnacentral:rRNA from 1 species
UACGGAGGAUCCAAGCGUUAUCCGGAUUUAUUGGGUUUAAAGGGUGCGUAGGUGGCUUAUUAAGUCAGGGGUGAAAGACGGUAGCUCAACUAUCGCAGUGCCUUUGAUACUGCAGGGCUUGAAUGUACUUGAGGUAGGCGGAAUGUGACAAGUAGCGGUGAAAUGCAUAGAUAUGUCACAGAACACCAAUUGCGAAGGCAGCUUACUAAAGUAUGAUUGACGCUGAGGCACGAAAGCGUGGGGAUCAAACAGG